rnacentral:rRNA from 1 species
CCUACGGGAGGCAGCAGUGAGGAAUAUUGGUCAAUGGGCGCGAGCCUGAACCAGCCAAGUAGCGUGAAGGAUGACUGCCCUACGGGUUGUAAACGUCUUUUAUAAAGGAAUAAAGUGAGGCACGUGUGCCUGUUUGGAUGUACUUUAUGAAUAAGGAUCGGCUAACUCCGUGCCAGCAGCCGCGGUAAUACGGAGGAUCCGAGCGUUAUCCGGAUUUAUUGGGGUGAAAGGGAGCGUAGAUGGGUUGUUAAGUCAGUUGUGCAAGUUUGCGGCUCCACCGUCAAAUUGCAAUUGAUACUGGCAGCCUUGCGUCCAGUUGCGGUAGGCGGAAUUC